AUUAAAACAAAUCUAAUGGCAUUUACAAAUUCACGCCGCAUCGGUACGUUUCCCGCAAAAUUGUUCAACAAAGCAGUCGAUAAUUAAUGGGAAUCAAGGAUGUAGUGAAGUUAGCGUUAAGCCCGCCUAUUCUACAAGGGAAACUCAACUCACAAAGAUACCAUAUCAUAAACCGGGUCGUCGUUGAAGACCGAGUUGAAGACUUUCUGGAUGAUCUUCCCUUAGUAGAGAGAAAUAAUAUA